rnacentral:lncRNA from 1 species
CCCCCACACACACACCAGAGCCCCCAACACACACACACACCAGAGCCUCCCAACAACACACACACGAGUCCCCAACAUACACACACACCAGAGCCCCCAACACACACACCAGAGCGCCCAACACACACACACACACCAGGGCCCCCCAACACACAAACCAGAGCCUCCAAGACAUACACACCAGAGCCCCCCAAUACACACACCAGAGCCCCGAACACACAUACGAGAGCCUCCAACACAGACACCAGAGCCCCCAACACACACACACACCAGAGCCUCCAACACACACACACCAGAGUCCCCAACACACACACCAGAGCCCCCAACACACACACCACAGCCUCCAACACACACACCACAGCCUCCAACACAUAUACAUGAGAGCCCACAUCACACACACCAGAGCCCCCAACACAUACCAGAGCCCCCAAAACACACCAGAGCCCCCAACCCACACACCAGAGCCUCCAACACACACAGAGCCCCCACCACACACACACCAGAGCCCCCAACACACACCAGGGCCCCCAACACACACACACCAGAGCCCCCAACAUACACACCAGAGCCCCCAACACACACACACAUCAGAGCUCUCAGCACUCACACACACCAGAGCCGCCAACACACACACACACACACCAGAGCCUCCCAAGACACACACCAGAGCCGCCAACACACACACACACACAACCAGAGCCCCCAACACACACACACACACCAGAGCCUCCAACACAGAGCCCCCAACACGCAAACCAGAGCCU